rnacentral:rRNA from 1 species
CGGCGCACGGGUGCGUAACGCGUAUGCAAUCUACCUUUCACAAAGGGAUAGCCCAGAGAGAUUUGGAUUAAUACCUUAUAGUAAUACGACUUGGCAUCAAGAUGUAUUUAAAGAUUUAUCGGUGAAAGAUGAGCAUGCGUCCCAUUAGCUAGUUGGUAUGGUAACGGCAUACCAAGGCUACGAUGGGUAGGGGUCCUGAGAGGGAGAUCCCCCACAUUGGUACUGAGACACGGACCAGACUCCUACGGGAGGCAGCAGUGAGGAAUAUUGGACAAUGGGCGCAAGCCUGAUCCAGCCAUGCCGCGUGCAGGAUGACGGUCCUAUGGAUUGUAAACUGCUUUUGUACAGGAAGAAACCCUUUCACGUGUGGAAGAUUGACGGUACUGUAAGAAUAAGGAUCGGCUAACUCCGUGCCAGCAGCCGCGGUAAUACGGAGGGUGCAAGCGUUGUCCGGAUUUAUUGGGUUUAAAGGGUGCGCAGGUGGUUUAUUAAGUCAGUGGUGAAAGACGGUCGCUCAACGAUUGCAGUGCCAUUGAAAC